rnacentral:tRNA from 1 species
GAGGGUAUAGCUCAGUGGUAGAGUGAGUGCUUAGCUUGCACAAGGCCCUGGGUUCAAACCCCAGUACCUCCA